GCAUCGAUAGUUUAGUGGUAGAAUUGAAGCUUCCCACCAAUACGCUGCUUCAGGCGCGGGUUCGAUUCCCGCUCGAUGCA